UAUACUGACCGAAAAUUAAUCGCAAAAUUAGAAUAUUGUCUGGAAAAUAAAUACACCGUUUAGAAAAUCAAUACAAUAGAUGGAAAAAAAUCAGUAGUGUAUUUAAAAAAAAAAUAUAAAAGAGAAAUACAACUGAACAUAAAAAAAAACAAUAAAAAAAUCAAGUGCAAAAUGAAAAAAAGUGAAGAAAAGUAUAAAAUAGAAAAAAAAAAAAAAAAAAAUCCUAAAUUACUGACGACUGUAUGUAAAAAAGGAAACAAAUAAUGAGGGGGAAAAAAAAAUGUGAGCUCGUAAGUAAAAGAAGAGAAAAAAAUAUGGAAGGAAAAUUAAGACGAAGGGAAAAUGAAGGCACGAAAUUACUGCUGAGUCGGAAGAAGAAGAAGAGGAGGAAGAGAAGGAGGAAAAAGAGGAGGAAGAGGAAGAAGACGACGACCUACUUUAGUUUCUUCUUCAUCUCCAGCCUCAAAACGCCACCUAUGAUGACUCUGGCUGCGCUGUGCUUACCUGGGAAAGUAAUUUGGACAAGGUUCUCCGGACUUUGAAGGCUUCAGGAUCCCCGACACUGGGAACCUUUGCGUCCUCUCACGCUGUCUUCUCGCAACAAACGAAGCCUCACAGUGACAACUGCGGGUAUUUGGUAAAUUUUGUGCGUGUUUGUAUGUGUGUGUGUGUGUGUGUGUGUGUGUGUGUGUGUGUGUG